CCCAACUUGAAAAGGUGUCCUUUUAGGAGGCAAUGUCUGCAUGAGUGCCGUACAGACAAACAGAAAUUGAAGCAGCGAAAGGAGAAUGACAUUCCUAUGGCUAAGCUGCAGAAUCAAGAGCCAGCUAAGCAGCGCAGCAAGUUGGUUUUACCAGAACCUCAGAUAUCAGACCAGGAGCUGCCUUGGAUGGUGAAACUGUGACGUCCCAGUGAGGCAGCACGGGAAGUUGCUACUGAGGGUGGACACCAGCCUUCAGAUACACUGCUGGCUGAUUAUUCUCUGACCCUUGCAGGGGGCUCUCAAACACCCCGUACUCCGGCACUGACAACUGAUAGGAUCUUGCAGGAGGCUCAGAACAUGAUGGCUCUCACACAUGUAGACACACCUCUUAAAGGAGGAUUGAAUACACACUUGCAUAGCUCAGAUUUCUCAGGGAUGACUCCACAAUGGGAAAUUGUCACUACACCAAACAUGGUGCUUGCAACUUCAUUCAUAAGCCAACGUAGUGAUGCACUUCAUACUCCAGCUGGUGGGGGUUUCCAUACACCAAAUCUAGAUGGUAGUAUGGGUGCUGUUGCACCUGCACCCAUUCAUGACAAACUAAGCAUUAAUCCAGACGAUGUUGGGGAUACAACCCAGACCAUGCAUAAUUAUCAGUGCCAGAGCAGCAUGAAAUGUUGUUAGAGGUCCUGCUCUUCCCAUGCCUCGACCCAUUGUACCAAGGGAUCGCAGCUACCUUAACAAGUUUGUAGGUACUUGGUUGGUGAUGGGCCUAACAAUCGUUAUGCUUUGAUUUGCAAAAAUUGCGAGUCUC